rnacentral:rRNA from 1 species
GACGAACGCUGGCGGCAUGCCUAAUACAUGCAAGUCGAGCGAACAGAUGAAGUGCUUGCACUUCUGACGUUAGCGGCGAACGGGUGAGUAACACGUAAGGAAUCUACCUAUAAGCGGGGGAUAACAUUCGGAAACGGGUGCUAAUACCGCAUAAUAUCUUCUUCCGCAUGGAAGGAGAUUGAAAGACGGCUCUGCUGUCACUUAUAGAUGACCUUGCGGUGCAUUAGUUAGUUGGUGGGGCAACGGCCUACCAAGACGAUGAUGCAUAGCCGACCUGAGAGGGUGAUCGGCCACAUUGGGACUGAGACACGGCCCAAACUCCUACGGGAGGCAGCAGUAGGGAAUCUUCCGCAAUGGGCGAAAGCCUGACGGAGCAAUGCCGCGUGAGUGAAGAAGGCCUUCGGGUCGUAAAACUCUGUUAUAAGAGAAGAACAAAUUGUAGAGUAACUGCUACAGUCUUGACGGUAUCUUAUCAGAAAGCCACGGCUAACUACAUGCCAGCCGCCGCAGUAA